GGGCGCUUAGCUCAGCUGGGAGAGCAUCUGCCUUACAAGCAGGAGGUCACAGGUUCGAUCCCUGUAGCGCCCACCA
rnacentral:tRNA from 1 species